rnacentral:rRNA from 1 species
AGCGCAGCGAAAUGCGAUACCUAGUGUGAAUUGCAGAAUUCCGCGAAUCAUCGAGUUUUUGAACGCAAGUUGCGCCCGAGGCUCGUACCGAGGGCAUGUCUGUCUGAGCGUCCA